rnacentral:rRNA from 1 species
GACGAACGCUGGCGGCGUGCUUAACACAUGCAAGUCGAGCGGAGCGGCGAACGGGUGAGUAACGCGUGAGUAAUUGCCCCCCUCUCUGGGAUAACAGUUGGAAACGGCUGCUAAUACCGGAUAGUGGGGGAUGACUCGCGCCCUAUCAGAUUGUUGGUGGGGUAGUGGCCUACCAAGGCGACGCCGGGUCGCCGGCCUGAGAGGGCGACCGGCCCCAAUGGGCUGAGAUAGGCCGCAGACGCGAACAGGGGGCAGCGGUGGGAAAUAUUACACAGUGAGGGAAACCCUGAUACGGCGACGCGGGUGCGGAAUGACUGCCUUGUGGUUGUGAACCGCUUUCAGCCAUGACGCGGUAGUGACAGAAGAAGCACCGGCUAACUACGUGCCAGCCGCCGCGGUAAUUC